CGGACGGGUGAGUAACACGUUGAUAACCUACCUAUAAGACUGGGAUAACUUCGGGAAACCGGAGCUAAUACCGGAUAAUAUUUUGAACCGCAUGGUUCAAAAGUGAAAGACGGUCUUGCUGUCACUUAUAGAUGGAUCCGCGCUGCAUUAGCUAGUUGGUAAGGUAACGUCUUACCAAGGCAACGAUGCAUAGCCGACCUGAGAGGGUGAUCGGCCACACUGGAACUGAGACACGGUCCAG
rnacentral:rRNA from 1 species